rnacentral:ncRNA from 1 species
GAAAGGGCAAACCCAUCGAAAGGUGGGGGCGCAAAGCCACAGGUCUAAGGCGUAGGCUAGGACGGCUGGGCUUCCGA